CCUACGGGUGGCAGCAGUGAGGAAUAUUGGUCAAUGGACGAGAGUCUGAACCAGCCAAGUAGCGUGAAGGAUGACUGCCCUAUGGGUUGUAAACUUCUUUUAUAUGGGAAUAAAACGUUCCACGUGUGGGAUUUUGUAUGUACCAUAUGAAUAAGGAUCGGCUAACUCCGUGCCAGCAGCCGCGGUAAUACGGAGGAUCCGAGCGUUAUCCGGAUUUAUUGGGUUUAAAGGGAGCGUAGGUGGAUUGUUAAGUCAGUUGUGAAAGUUUGCGGCUCAACCGUAAAAUUGCAGUUGAAACUGGCAGUCUUGAGUACAGUAGAGGUGGGCGGAAUUCGUGGUGUAGCGGUGAAAUGCUGAGAUAUCACGAAGAACUCCGAUUGCGAAGGCAGUUCACUGGACUGCAACUGACACUGAGGCUCGAAAGUGUGGGUAUCAAACAGGAUUAGAUACCCCUGUAGUC
rnacentral:rRNA from 1 species